GACGAACGCUGGCGGCGUGCUUAACACAUGCAAGUCGAACGGAAAGGCCCUGCUUUUGUGGGGUGCUCGAGUGGCGCACGGGUGAGUAACACGUGAGUAACCUGCCCUUGACUUUGGGAUAACUUCAGGAAACUGGGGCUAAUACCGGAUAGGAGCUCCUGCUGCAUGGUGGGGGUUGGAAAGUUUCGGCGGUUGGGGAUGGACUCGCGGCUUAUCAGCUUGUUGGUGGGGUAGUGGCUUACCAAGGCUUUGACGGGUAGCCGGCCUGAGAGGGUGACCGGCCACAUUGGGACUGAGAUACGGCCCAGACUCCUACGGGAGGCAGCAGUGGGGAAUAUUGCACAAUGGGCGGAAGCCUGAUGCAGCGACGCCGCGUGCGGGAUGACGGCCUUCGGGUUGUAAACCUCUUUCGCCUGUGACGAAGCGUGAGUGACGGUAAUUGGUAAAGAAGCACCGGCUAACUACGUG
rnacentral:rRNA from 1 species